UCCUCCUUUUCAUCCUUCCCCCCCCCCCCCCUGAGCUCCUUUCAUCCUCUUUUCCUUAUCCUCCUUCCCCCUUAUCUCGCCUUCCCCUCAUCCUUCCUGGUCCUCCUUUCCUUUCUUCUCUCCUUAGCCACCUUUCUCCACUCCUCCCCAUCCCCCAGACUCCUUCUCCCCGUCCCCACGUUUCACACCCACCAGAAAUAAUGCUUCCUUCCUUCCUUUCUUGUUUUUAACGAGCAUUUUUAAUUUUCGGAGAGGGAAAAGAGCCGGGGAGAGCCGGUGGCAGACAGAGAUAAUCCCCCCCUUCUUUAAAGAACGGAUCUGAAUUAAUGCUCGUUCGGUGCUGCGCGUAUGACGGGAAGAGGGGGAUUAUAUUUAGGGAAGAAAAGAAAGGGUCAAAGUUGAUUUUUGCAGAUCUCACUUACACUGAGAUGUGGAGAAAUCACUCUCUGGAGACUGUGGAAGCGGAGGUGAUUUUUCAGUUUGCUGAAGAUCAGGAGAAAUAGAGUAGUUGCAUCAGUUACCACAGGUUGGUAGGACUUGUGUAGGUCUGUUGUUCUUUGUCCUUAUUUAUUUUUUAUUCUCUCUUUCUCUUAUCUGCUCCUGUGGGGGUUAAAUAUUACUUCAGUUUCAAAAAAUGGUCUUGCUGCCUUUACUAAUGGUCCCUGAAGAGAAGGUCUGUGGAUAUUGGAAUCAGUUAGGUUUGAGGAAUAGUUAUGGCUGAUAAAGUCUGUAGCCUAUGGUAUGAUUUAAGGGAAUUGUAGACUUUAUUUCUGCCUCGGCAGAGGUAAAUCUUUGAGUGGUUUUGAGAAAAAAUAGAGGAAGCAUAUACAGAAAUUGCGGUUAAUGAGAGAAGCUGUCUUGUUUCUUAAAACUGUCUUUAUUUCCUCCUCUGUGUUUGAUUUGAAAUUCAAAAAUUUCUGCUCUGUACAGAAUAAGGAAUUAAAAAGUAAUUGACGUAUUUUUCUGGCUUGCAGUUAAGAAAUAAAAAUGAGUAGAAGGAAUUCUGACUUAUGAAAGAGAAGUUAGAUGCUAUUAUGUGCAACUGGGAAACACAAAGGCAGUUUAAAAUACUUCUGUGUUUAAAAAAGCUAACAUUAAAGUGAAAAAAAAGAACAUUGAGUAGAAAGACAGAUGAAACAUGAGCUUUUGAAGAACUUUCUAUGAAAAGGGCAAUAAAACUAAGAUUUGUUAUGUUUUUACUUUUUAGGAGCUGCUAGGGUGGCUUCCUGUCAAAUAACAUGAAAAAUAGACUGUGAUGAAAGACUGAGAGUAAAUUCUAUUUUUUACUGUUUUCAGCAUUCUCCAUUACAUUUUGGCCAAGAAUAGUGUAUUGUUUUAAAACAGUGUUUUUAAAAAUACAUUUUUGUUGCUUUUUUCUUUAACAUAAACGAAACAGUAAUCUCAGUCAAUCACUAUCACGAAUUGGUUGAUUUGGG
rnacentral:lncRNA from 1 species